AGUGAACGCUGGCGGCAGGCCUAACACAUGCAAGUCGAACGGCAGCACAGUAAGAGCUUGCUCUUACGGGUGGCGAGUGGCGGACGGGUGAGGAAUACAUCGGAAUCUACUUUUUCGUGGGGGAUAACGUAGGGAAACUUACGCUAAUACCGCAUAUGACCUACGGGUGAAAGCAGGGGAUCUUCGCACCUUGCGCGAUUGAAUGAGCCGAUGUCGGAUUAGCUAGUUGGCUGGGUAAUGGCCCACCAAGGCGACGAUCCGUAGCUGGUCUGAGAGGAUGAUCGGCCACACUGGAAGUGAGACACGGUCAAGACUCCUACGGGAGGGAGCAGUGGGGAAUAUUGGGCAAUGGGCGCAAGCCUGACCCAGCCAUACCGCGUGUGUGAAGAAGGCCUUCGGGUUGUAAAGCCCUUUUGUUGGGAAAGAACAGCAGUAGGUUAAUACGCCGCUGUUCUGACGGUACCCAAAGAAUAAGCACCGGCUAACUACGUG
rnacentral:rRNA from 1 species